UCAGAGAGUGAAGCAGGUCAAGGACUGUUGGCAUCCUCCCCUCCCCCAGCCCCCCUCCCCCCAAGGUAUUUCUUUCCCCCUCCCUCGGAAGAGGCCCACGCAAGCAGCAGCUCUGCCAAACCUGGCGGGGAGAAACAAGCAGGCUGGACUCCAGGCCAUCCUAACGCCCUCUCAGCGGGGCGCCAAGCACACAAACUUUCAGCUCCCUUAACCUGCCGAAGCUGCCACCAUUCGGGCUCAGGCAGGGCAUCCCCUGGGCCAAACAAGCUCCUCCCCGCUACCACCACUGCCCUGUCAGGCCUCUACAGGUCUGUGCUGAAGCCGCCACUGUCCUAUGGGAUCUGGCUUCUGCUCCCGCCAGGGAACCACCCACCUCAGCAGCUAGAGUCCCAGGCCGGCCGACACAUCACCACGACCUCUUGCCUCCCUCCUCCUCUCCCCAGUGCGGUGACCCCCAGGGGAAGGCAGAGGGAGGAGAUGGAUUUGGAGGCUUUUGCUGCUAGCUGCUCCGAUCCUCCAGUCCUCCUGUCCUCCUCCCCUCCUCCCCUCCCCUCCCCACUUGCCCAGUGGGUUUCACUGUCUCUUUCCCCGCCCCCAACCCUACUUGCUUCAAGUCCAUUUCAAGAUGGCGGGACCUCCCACCCCACUGCCAUCCCUGCAGUUAUGGGGUUGUAGGAAAUCAUUCAAAAGCCAGAUAUGAAGAAGAAAGUCGGUAUUUCCCAAAGGUAAGAAUCAAGCAACAAGCAUUAGUGCUUCUUCUGGGUUAGUUACAGUACUAAGCAAUCAAAGAAAAAACUAAUGUUUCAUUCUAAUGGAGGAGACAACAAAUAUAUUAAUCAGAAUAUAAAAAAUAAAUACAGAACAAAGUGAAAGUAAUCUCCAAAGGUCAUCAUCAUAAUGGAAUAAUGAGGUUAUUGUAAUUGUUCAGGUGAGAGGUGAUGAGGGUCAACAAGGUUGAUAGCUAUGUGAGCGGAAAAAAACAUGGGAGAAGAGGUACUGUAGAGAAAGGAAUUUUAAAAGAUGUGGUAAGUAAUUGGAAUAAUAUGUAGAGUAAGCUAGAGAGCAGAGUUGUAGAUGACUCAGGUUGUAAACCUGGGUGAAAGGAAGGAUGGUAAGUUAUUUCUACAGUAAUAGGGAAGUUCAGAAAAGGGGAAAGUUUUGGAGGCAAAGAAUGGAUUCUGUUUUUGAUACUCUGAGGUUGAGAUACAAUGGGUCAUCCAGUUCAAAAUGUCCAAUAGGACAGGUAUUUGGGGGUUUGAGAAUAGGGCAUUUAAGAGAGACUAGGCCUGGAUAAAUAAAUGUAUUACUUAUUUGAAUCUAGAUGAUAAUAGGACCUCAAGGAGGUUGAUGAGGUCAGAAGUAAGACAGCAUUGAGAAAAAAGAUGAGAACCAAUGAAAGAAUCUUGAGGUUCACUCACAUGGGGGCAUGACAUGAGUAAAGAUCCAACAAAAGAGACUGAGUAGCAGGUCGUUGAAGUAGAAAAAAGAACCUAGGAAGAGAAGAAGGAGGAAAACUCUGAUAGGAGAGAGCAUUGAGAAGAAAUUUGUUGGUCAGUUACUAAAAAUGGUGCAAGACAGAUUAAAAAGGAUGAGGAAUAAGAAGAGGUCAUUAGAUUUUGCAAUUAAGAGAUUAUUACAGGGCAGCUAGGUGACUGAAUGGAUUGAGAGCCAGGCUGGAAAUGGGAGGUCCUGGAUUUAAAUCUGGCCUCCAACUCUUCCUAGCUUUGUGAUCAUGGGCAAGGCACUUAAUCCCCUUUGCCUAGAUCUUAUCACUCUUCUGCACAGGUACUAAUAAUUACAGGUAUUUUAAAAUUUGAAAUUUCUGAAAUUCUAAAACAGAAAAGAGCUUAUUGGUAACUUUGGAAAGAAAGUUUCAAUUAAAUGAGUUGAAUUCAGAUUAUAGAGUUUAGAAGAGAGUGAAAGAGUAAAUGGAGGCAACAUUCAUUAAUGUGCCAGACAUCAUCAUAAACACUAGAGAUUAAAAAAGUAAAAGACAGAACCUGCUGUCAAGGAGCUGAAGUCUAAGGGAAUAACUACAUGCAAACAAAUAAGCAUCUAUAUACAGGAAAAAUUGGAAAUAACUUCUUCGAGAGAAAGGAAGUCAUUGAUAUUCAAGUUGGGUGGGAAUGGCUUUUUGGAGAAAGUGGAAUUUUAACUGGGACUUUAAAGAACCAGGGAAGCCAAGAGGCAGAGGUAAGGAGGGAGAGAAUUAGGAGC
rnacentral:lncRNA from 1 species